ensembl:lncRNA
UCCUGGAUCUACUGUUCCCAGCAGCUGAUCCCUGCUGGUCCUGGAUCUACUGGUCCCAGCAGCUGAUCCCUGCUGCUCCGGGAUCUACAGAGACAAGAGACUCAGCCCUGAGCUGGAUGGAUGACGUCACCGCAAGCACAACAAAACCAGGCACUUAGCAGCUUAGCGGUGUGGGCUAGUGGCUACUGCCCUGUGGCCGUCGUGUCGCGGCAAGUGGGGAUGAGACCCACGAAGUGUCUACUAAGGGGCACUGUGGUAAACCUGUUUUCAUACACUGGAGACAGGGGGAGUAUGUGUG